UACAGAGGGUGCGAGCGUUAAUCGGAAUUACUGGGCGUAAAGCGCGCGUAGGCGGCUUGUUAAGUCAAAUGUGAAAUCCCCGAGCUUAACUUGGGCAUUGCAUUCGAUACUGGCAAGCUAGAGUAUGGGAGAGGAAGGUAGAAUUCCAGGUGUAGCGGUGAAAUGCGUAGAUAUCGGGAGGAACACCUGUGGCGAAAGCGGCGCACUGGACCAUAACUGACGCUGAUGCGCGAAAGCGUGGGGAGCAAACAGG
rnacentral:rRNA from 1 species